rnacentral:rRNA from 1 species
AACGAACGCUGGCGGCAGGCUUAACACAUGCAAGUCGAACGCCCCGCAAGGGGAGUGGCGCACGGGUGAGUAACGCGUGGGAAUAUGCCCUUCGGUUCGGAAUAACACAGGGAAACUUGUGCUAAUACCGGAUACGAUCUACGGAUGAAAGAUUUAUCGCCGAAGGAGUAGCCCGCGUAGGAUUAGCUAGUUGGUGAGGCAAUGGCUCACCAAGGCGACGAUCCUUAGCUGGUCUGAGAGGAUGAUCAGCCACACUGGGACUGAGACACGCCCCAGACUCCUACGGGAGGCAGCAGUGGGGAAUAUUGGACAAUGGGGGAAACCCUGAUCCAGCCAUGCCGCGUGAGUGAUGAAGGCCUUAGGGUUGUAAAGCUCUUUCGCCAGGGAAGAUAAUGACGGUACCUGCAGAAAAAGCACCGGCUAACUCUGUGCCAGCCGCCGCCGUAACAC